UACGGAGGGGGCUAGCGUUGUUCGGAAUUACUGGGCGUAAAGCGCACGUAGGCGGCUUUGCAAGUUAGAGGUGAAAGCCCGGAGCUCAACUCCGGAAUUGCCUUUAAAACUGCAUCGCUAGAAUUGUGGAGAGGUGAGUGGAACUGCGAGUGUAGAGGUGAAAUUCGUAGAUAUUCGCAAGAACACCAGUGGCGAAGGCGGCUCACUGGCCCGGUACUGACGCUGAGGUGCGAAAGCGUGGGGAGCAAACAGG
rnacentral:rRNA from 1 species